CAUUUGGCUAAAAUUUAGUUAAUUGAAGCCAGAGUUAAUGCGAGUUAUUACAAUUGCUUAUAAUUAAGAACCCGAACCCGGAUGAAUUAAUUGUGCCCAGAAUUAAAUAUAGAUAAGUCUGUGUAGAGGUAUGAACUGGUUGAUAUUGCAAAAUCAUCUGAAGAGGUGAUGUUAGCGGCGAAAUGCAUAUCGAAUUCGUAGCUAGCUGG
rnacentral:ncRNA from 1 species